CCUACGGGAGGCAGCAGUGGGGAAUAUUGCACAAUGGGGGAAACCCUGAUGCAGCGACGCCGCGUGCGGGAUGACGGCCUUCGGGUUGUAAACCGCUUUUAAUUGGGAGCAAGCGCAAGUGAGUGUACCUUUUGAAUAAGCACCGGCUAACUACGUGCCAGCAGCCGCGGUAAUACGUAGGGUGCAAGCGUUGUCCGGAAUUAUUGGGCGUAAAGAGCUCGUAGGCGGUUUGUCGCGUCUGGUGUGAAAGUCCAUCGCUUAACGGUGGAUUUGCGCUGGGUACGGGCAGGCUAGAGUGUAGUAGGGGAGACUGGAAUUCCCGGUGUAACGGUGGAAUGUGUAGAUAUCGGGAAGAACACCAAUGGCGAAGGCAGGUCUCUGGGCUAUUACUGACGCUGAGGAGCGAAAGCGUGGGGAGCGAACAGGAUUAGAUACCCUUGUAGUC
rnacentral:rRNA from 1 species